CAUGUCUUUUUGAUUUUAAUUUAAGGUUUAAUCUGCUCAAUGAUUAUUUAAAUUGCCGCAGUAUCUUAACUGUGCAAAGGUAGCAUAAUAAUUAGUUUCUUGAUUAGAAGCUGGAAUGAAUGAUUUGACGAGAAAAUUACUGUCUCUUGUUAAUUGAUAAUUGAAUUUUAUUUUUAAGUUAAAAAGCUUAAAUAAUAAUAAAAGACGAGAAGACCCUAUAGAGUUUAAUAUUGAUUUAUAUUAAUUUUUAGUAAUUUAAUAAUAAUAAGAUAUUUAGUUGGGGUGACUUAAAGAUUUAAUUAAUUCUUUAAUUUAUUUAUUGUUGAUAAAUAAAUUUUUGAUCUAUAUUUUUAAAUAUAAUAUAAAUUACCUUAGGGAUAACAGCGUUAUUUUUCUUUAGAGUUCUUAUUAAAAGAAAAGAUUGCGACCUCGAUGUUGGAUUAAAAUUUAUUUUUGGAGUAGUUGCUUUAAAAUUAGGUCUGUUCGACCUUUAAAAUUUUACAUGAUCUGAGU
rnacentral:rRNA from 1 species